UGAAGAGAGAGUUAAAUAGGACGUGAAACCGAUGAGGUGGAAACGGACAGAGCUGACGUGUCUGACCUGUAUUCAGCCGCUCACUGGCGUGCUCAAUGCACUUGCCGGUAGUGGUGCACUUACGGGCGGAGUGUGCUGAGACCUGUGAUGGGGUGGCCGGAUGCGCGUGUCUUGUGGGCAUGCCCCGCCGGGGUGUGCGUCCCGGGCGCCGUGGAUGGCUGUUCUCGUUGCAUGUAGCGUUGUGUGCUCGGCGUAUUGGCCGCUGUACUGGUGGGCGUAGGGCACUGGGAUCGCUUGCGAUCUCCGCAGGGUUCGAAACUCGCUGUGCGGUGUGUCGGUGGUCGGGUGGGCAUCUCGGUGUGGAAGUCGGUCACCUGUCCGACCCGUCUUGAAACACGGACCAAGGAGUUUAGCGCAUACGCGAGUCAUUGAGUGAACGAAACUCAUAGGCGCAAUGAAGAUGACGCGAUUAGCGACGUGUGAUCCGGACGUUGUGCUGCGCUGCUAGCCAGCCGCGCAACCAAGGAGCAACAUGGCCCUGUGACGAUUGCUUGCAAUGUUGCGGAGGCGGAGCGUAUGCGAUGAGACCCGAAAGAUGGUGAACUUUGCCUGAGCAGGAUGAAGCCGGAGGAAACUCUGGUGGAGGUCCGAAGCGGUUCUGACGUGCAAAUCGAUCGUCUGACUUGGGUAAAGGGGCGAAAGACCAAUCGAACUAUCUAGUAGCUGGUUCCUUCCGAA
rnacentral:rRNA from 1 species